rnacentral:misc_RNA from 1 species
GGACUACUGGGGUAUCUAAUCCUGUUCGCUCCCCACGCUUUCGUCCAUCAGCGUCAGUUAAAUCUUAGUGACCUGCCUUCGCAAUCGGUGUUCUAAGUAAUAUCUAUGCAUUUCACCGCUACACUACUUAUUCCAGCCACUUCAAAUUUACUCAAGGCCUGCAGUAUCAAUGGCAGUUUCAUAGUUAAGCUAUGAGAUUUCACCACUGACUUACAGGCCCGCCUACGGACCCUUUAAACCCAAUAAAUCCGGAUAACGCUCGCACCCUCCGUAUUACCGCGGCGGCUGGCAC